rnacentral:rRNA from 1 species
GAACGCUGGCGGCAUGCCUAACACAUGCAAGUCGAACGAGAUCUUCGGAUCUAGUGGCGCACGGGUGCGUAACGCGUGGGAAUCUGCCCUUGGGUACGGAAUAACUCAGAGAAAUUUGUGCUAAUACCGUAUAAUGUCUUCGGACCAAAGAUUUAUCGCCCAAGGAUGAGCCCGCGUAGGAUUAGCUAGUUGGUGAGGUAAAAGCUCACCAAGGCGACGAUCCUUAGCUGGUCUGAGAGGAUGAUCAGCCACACUGGGACUGAGACACGGCCCAGACUCCUACGGGAGGCAGCAGUGGGGAAUAUUGGACAAUGGGCGAAAGCCUGAUCCAGCAAUGCCGCGUGAGUGAUGAAGGCCUUAGGGUUGUAAAGCUCUUUUACCCGGGAUGAUAAUGACAGUACCGGGAGAAUAAGCUCCGGCUAACUUCGUGCCAGCAGCG